rnacentral:rRNA from 1 species
GCUUCUGGGUGAGCAGUGGCGAACGGGUGAGUAACACGUGAGUAACCUGCCCCUGACUCUGGAAUAAGCGCUGGAAACGGCGUCUAAUACCGGAUACGAGACGCAACCGCAUGGUUAGUGUCUGGAAAGUUUUUCGGUCUGGGAUGGACUCGCGGCCUAUCAGCUUGUUGGUGAGGUAAUGGCUCACCAAGGCAGUGACGGGUAGCCGGCCUGAGAGGGCGAUCGGCCACACUGGGACUGAGACACGGCCCAGACUCCUACGGGAGGCAGCAGUGGGGAAUAUUGCACAAUGGGCGAAAGCCUGAUGCAGCGACGCCGCGUGAGGGAUGACGGCCUUCGGGUUGUAAACCUCUUUCAGCAGGGAAGAAGCGCAAGUGACGGUACCUGCAGAAGAAGCACCGGCUAACUACGUGCCAGCAGCCGCGGUAAUACGUAGGGUGCGAGCGUUGUCCGGAAUUAUUGGGCGUAAAGAGCUUGUAGGCGGUUUGUCGCGUCUGCUGUGAAAAUCCGGGGCUCAACCCCGGACUUGCAGUGGGUACGGGCAGACUAGAGUGUGGUAGGGGAGACUGGAAUUCCUGGUGUAGCGGUGAAAUGCGCAGAUAUCAGGAGGAACACCGAUGGCGAAGGCAGGUCUCUGGGCCAUUACUGACGCUGAGAAGCGAAAGCAUGGGGAGCGAACAGGAUUAGAUACCCUGGUAGUCCAUGCCGUAAACGUUGGGAACUAGGUGUGGGUCUCAUUCCACGAGGUCCGUGCCGCAGCUAACGCAUUAAGUUCCCCGCCUGGGGAGUACGGCC